AGCAUCCAAGGAUUCUUUCGUUUUCCUACUGCAGAAAUCAAGUAUUUAUCAUCUCUUAUACUCUACAGAUGGAUCGGGUAACAGCGUCUUACAUCUCGCAUGUGAAAACAACCCUGCGGUAUGAAAUUAGGAUGUAUUAAAUGGUAUUUAACAAUUACUUGUUAUUACGUAUAUAAGAAACUAUAAUAGUAACAAUCAAUAAGUUGUUAUGUUAAGUUAAUAUAUGUUUGUCUCAGAUUGCAGAGUACUUGAUCAAGGAAACGAAUAUAGAUGUGAAUGCCCAGAACAAUAAAAAACUUACAGCGCUUGGCAUGCUUUACCGGAACAGGUUUAAUCGAGAUAGAGGCGUUAUUCAAACCUUAUUAAUCAAUGCAGGUGGUAACAAGGGAGUACAAAUUUUAUCAAAAACCAAUGAUGUUGUUAGAGCAACGGAUGAUGAAAAACAAGUGUCCGAUUUUGAUACAAAGCCAGCGGAUGAUGAAAGAGAAGCAGACAAUUUCGAUUCAGAGCCUAUCUUAUCUCCUACAAACAAUUCAUCACAUGAAGAUCAAGAGCCUAAUAUAUCUCAUGCAAGCUAUUCAUCACCUCAACAACAUCUAGUUGGUGAAAGAAGAAGAAGAUUGAAAGCAAAACGCAAUGCUACAAAACAAAAGGACAAACGUGGCAGCACAAGGAAGAUGGACUUCACUGAAGACAUUAGUGGCCUGGAACAAAUACAUGAAGAGGCACUGCAAAAUGCGAGAAACACAAUCAUUUUAGUUGCUACUUUGAUUGCAGCAGUGACUUUCACUGCUGGGAUAAGUCCUCCUGGUGGUGUUUACCAGGAAGGAAUUAUGAAAGGGAAGUCAAUUCUAGCAAGAACUGCAGGUUUUAAGGUUUUUGCAAUAACUAACACUAUUGCGUUGUUCACAUCUCUUUCCAUGGUUCUUAUUCUAGUGAGGAUCAUACCCUUUCGAAGAAAAACACAGAAGAGAAUACUGAAAAUUGCAGAUAGGAUAAUGUGGUUAGCAGUGUCAUUCAUGGGAGCAGCUUACCUGGCAGCCUCAUGGGUGAUAAUGUCUCCUGUUCGAGGGACAGAAUGGAUGCCUGUCAUUGUAUUGUUAGUGGGUGCUGCUAUACUGUCAAUUACUUUUAUUGGGAUAUUGGUGAUGCUUGUUGAGCAGAAGUGGAGGAAAAAGCAAAGGAGGUCAGAGAAGAAUGGAAGGAGAGAUAUGGAUGAACGGAAACUCAAAAUUCCAGAAUCAGAUAUUGAGACUAAUUAUGAGCGAGGAUAUUACUCAUUUUGAUUGUAUUGAAAUACCCAAUUCAACAAUAAAGUCUUUCACAAAAACCCAAUACCAAGCAUUAGACUUUAAUUGUAAGGAAUAAAGCAAUUGGUUCUUGUCAUGUUGGAAUCCUUCUUCAGACACCUUUCUCAUUAGUCAUCAUUUUCUGUCUCUUUCUGUAUGUGCAUUGUUCAGUUUGCCUCAUCGUUUAGUUUUAAUCUCAUACCUCCACGCUUUUUAUCGGUAUCACUAACCCUUCACAAGAAUUAUAUCAACAAAAAAAAGUACAUAAAUAGAAAAAAAAAAUUGCAUUACUUGGUUAUUUUCAUAGACUUUAGAGAACUAUGGUUUUUGAGGUAACUAGACAUGAGCAAAAAUGAAGGCACAGUUUAUAAUAGCAAUUCCAUAAUCAUACAUCACCAAUUACAAUUACAUUCAAAUUGAUGGACGCGAUCGAGAGCAUUACCGGUUGGGUUAAUGGUGGAGCAGUGGUGGAGAUAGAGAGAACGACUGCUGACUCCGUACGACAAGUGCUUUCGAUGGAUUUCUCUGGCGACGAGGGAAACUUUUCCAUGUCAUUCAAGAGCGACGAGAGAAAAGUCAUCAUUUUCAAAACUUCCGUACUCAAAUCCUAAUUUAGCGGUGGCCGCUAUCUCCACUCUCCAACGACAGGUCGUCCAGUUAUUUUUCUCUAAAUCUAUAUUUGGGCUUUAAGAAGCCCAAAUAUAUAUAUAUAUAUAUAUAUAUUUAAAAAAAAAAAAAUGAAAUGGUACUACUUGUAUAGAAAUUUC
rnacentral:lncRNA from 1 species